UACGUAGGGGGCAAGCGUUGUCCGGAUUUAUUGGGCGUAAAGAGCUACGUAGGCAGCUUGUCGCGUCGGCUGUGAAAUCCCGUGGCUCAACUGCGGGUCUGCAGCCGAUACGGGCAGGCUAGAGUUCGGUAGGGGAGACGUGGAAUUCCUGGUGUAGCGGUGAAAUGCGCAGAUAUCAGGAGGAACACCGGUGGCGAAGGCGGGUCUCUGGGCCGAUACUGACGCUGAGGAGCGAAAGUGCGGUGGGAGCAACAGG
rnacentral:rRNA from 1 species